rnacentral:rRNA from 1 species
AUGUCAGCAAAGGCCUCUAACAUGUCAUACAGAUAUCCAGACAAUUCUCAAAUACCAUACUACAGCAGUUCAAUGCAUGUGGGGGGAAAUGGUACUUGCUAUGUGCAACAAAAUCAUGAGGGUCAUCACUACAUGUCCUCUGAUGAUGGCUCACAGAACAGCGAUUCAAAGUCUCAGGUGAUUCACCCACAGUACAGCACUCUAGAGUCUUCAUCAGCCAAUUGUGUUUAUGCUGUCAAUAGCUCUACAUCUCCUCAGUGCAUAAGUGGGAGCCACAUUUCUCUGCAUGAUAGCCACUCAGAUCACACAUAUGAUUCUCCUGCAAGUGGCAUCACCGAGGUUCCAGGUUUGGGGUUUACAACACUUCAGGAGCUAGCAGAUGCACUGUUUGGAUCUGAUUCAGAUGCAGUUAGUUCUGACAGAUCCUCCCUAGUAAUUGGCGCCGCAAUGCACCAAAGUAACUGGAGAGAGCUUCUGGGAAUUAGCUCUGGGGACUUGAAGCAGGUAAUUGUAGCAUGUGGUAAGGCUGUUGAUGAGAAUAAUUGUCACGAGGAAUUGCUGAUAUCAGAGUUACAGAAGAUGGUUUCUGUGUCUGGAGAACCAAUGCAACGUCUGGGAGCCUAUAUGUUGGAAGGCCUUGUUGCGAGGCGUUAUUCCACUGGACACGCGUUGUAUAAAUCUCUGAAGUGUAAGGAACCUCAACCUACGAAUUCAGAGCUCAUGUCCUACAUGCAUCUUCUCUAUGAUAUCUGUCCAUUCUUCAAAUUUGGUUACAUGUCUGCCAAUGGUGCUAUAGCUGAGGCUGUUAAGGGUGAGAACUUUAUUCACAUUAUCGAUUUCCAAAUCGCUCAAGGGAGCCAGUGGGUAACUAUGAUACAGGCCCUUGCUGCGAGGGCUAGCGGACCACCAUGCUUAAGAAUUACUGGUAUAGAUGACUCAGAUUCGGCUUAUGCCCGAGGUGGUGGACUGGAUAUAGUUGGGCGUAAGUUAUACAGCGUUGCCCAGUCAUGUCGUCUGCCCUUUGAGUUCAAUGCUGUACAUGCAGCUAGUCAUGAGGUUACACUUGAACAUCUUGAUAUAAGAAAGGGAGAGGCUAUUGCUGUCAACUUUGCGUAUCAGCUGCAUCAUACUCCUGAUGAAAGUGUCUGCAUAGAAAACCACCGGGAUAGGAUAUUGAGAAUGGUUAAGAGCCUUUCUCCUAGCGUGGUAACUCUUGUAGAGCAGGAGGCUAACACAAACACUGCCCCAUUCUUCAGUAGAUACAUGGAGACCCUUGACUACUACACUGCCAUGUUUGAGGCAAUAGAUGUUGCUUGCUCCAGGGAUGACAAGAAGAGGAUGAGCACUGAGCAGCACUGUGUUGCAAGAGAUAUUGUCAAUUUAAUUGCAUGUGAAGGUGCAGAAAGAGUGGAGAGGCACGAACCUUUUGGAAAGUGGCGGUCUAGACUUGCAAUGGCUGGCUUUAGACCAUACCCCCUAAGUGCAUUGGUGAACAAUACUAUCAGAACACUGUUAAAUAAUUACAACAGUUACUACAAGCUAGAGGAGAAAGAUGGUGUCAUUUAUCUCGGAUGGAAGAACAGAAAGCUGGUUGUAUCUUCUGCAUGGUGGUGA